rnacentral:rRNA from 1 species
UGAGGAAUAUUGGUCAAUGGACGGAAGUCUGAACCAGCCAAGUAGCGUGCAGGAUGACGGCCCUAUGGGUUGUAAACUGCUUUUGUAUGGGGAUAAAGUUAGGGACGUGUCCCUAUUUGCAGGUACCAUACGAAUAAGGACCGGCUAAUUCCGUGCCAGCAGCCGCGGUAAUACGGAAGGUCCAGGCGUUAUCCGGAUUUAUUGGGUUUAAAGGGAGCGUAGGCUGGAGAUUAAGUGUGUUGUGAAAUGUAGACGCCCAACGUCUGAAUUGCAGCGCAUACUGGUUUCCUUGAGUACGCACAACGUUGGCGGAAUUCGUCGUGUAGCGGUGAAAUGCUUAGAUAUGACGAAGAACUCCGAUUGCGAAGGCAGCUGACGGGAGCGCAACUGACGCUUAAGCUCGAAGGUGCGGGUAUCAAACAGGAUUAGAUACCCUGGUAGUCCGCACAGUAAACGAUGGAUGCCCGCUGUUGGUACCUGGUAUCAGCGGCUAAGCGAAAGCAUUAAGCAUCCCACCUGGGGAGUACGCCGGCNCGGU